CAGUCGCCGCGGUAAUACGAAGGGGGCUAGCGUUGCUCGGAAUGACUGGGCGUAAAGGGCGCGUAGGCGGUUGACACAGUCAGAUGUGAAAUCCCCGGGCUCAACCUGGGAAUGGCAGUGGAUACUGGCUCGCUAGAGUGUGUCAGAGGAUGGUGGAAUUCCCGGUGUAGCGGUGAAAUGCGUAGAGAUCGGGAGGAACAUCAGUGGCGAAGGCGGCCAUCUGGGACAACACUGACGCUGAGGCACGAAAGCGUGGGGAGCAAACAGGAUUAGAUACCCGGGUAGUCCCUGUCUCUUAUAC
rnacentral:rRNA from 1 species